GGGAAACCAGUUAACAAGGGAAGACACAGAACUGAAGGUGAACAGAAAUCCAGACCAGAGGAACCAUGCAGAAGUCAAACGUGUGUGUGUGAUGUGUGCGUGAUGAGGAAGAGGAACCUUCUGCUUCUUCUUCCUGAAGAACAAACAUGAUGUUUUGUUCAGUCGUUGCUUUAAAAGUGUCUGCAGCAGCUUCUGUUUUCCAACAUUUAACGAUGGCUAUGGAACUCACUUCAGGUUGUAUUUAUGAAAACUCUGUCCAGAAAACCAGAAAAGGAGCAGAUGUGGACGCCUCUCCAGGAGAGAUUUAUGAAAACCCGCUGGUGUUUCAAAAAGGGUGAGACAGGCAGGUGCAGCCGAGCUGAAGAUCAUCAGGACUCAUCAGGACGACCCUUCUUAAGUAGCUGGAUCCCUGAAGGAGGCGUCAGAUUGUUAACUCACCUGAGUUGUAAUCAGACCAGCAGCCGCAGUUCUGUUUCUCUUGUUUUUCCUGACCUAGUCUCUUACCUAAGUUGUUUGUGCAUUUCCUGUUUAUCAAUAAACCCGUUAAACUGUAA